rnacentral:lncRNA from 1 species
UUCUCCUUGCAAAUCUUUGCUCCAAAAAUCAGAUCUAGAUCUGAUCUUGAAGAUCUUCAAAAGAUCUUCUGAAGCUGGAGCAGUAGCUUCUCGACAAAUCCCUGUAGCCUUCUGUUCAGAGAGCCACCACACCUUGGACAAGCACCAGAUGGACAUCCAACUUCUUGGACAUGAAGAGGGGAGAGAGAGGAGCAGAGGGGAUGUGGAGAAGUGGAGGGAAAUCUCAUUUUUUCUAGGUAUUGAGUAGAUUCUCUAAACCUAGGUGCAGACAGGGUUUAAAUAGACCCUGCUGCGCCAUGCAGUGCCACAUC